UACAUUGGGUGCAAACGUUGCUCGGAAUUACUGGGCGUAAAGCGCACGUAGGCGGCUUUGUAAGUUAGAGGUGAAAGCCCAGGGCUCAACCCUGGAAUUGCCUUUAAGACUGCAUCGCUUGAACAUCGGAGAGGUAAGUGGAAUUCCGAGUGUAGAGGUGAAAUUCGUAGAUAUUCGGAAGAACACCAGUGGCGAAGGCGACUUACUGGACGAUUGUUGACGCUGAGGUGCGAAAGCGUGGGGAGCAAACAGG
rnacentral:rRNA from 1 species